rnacentral:rRNA from 1 species
UACGUAGGGACCAAGCGUUGUUCGGAUUUACUGGGCGUAAAGGGCGCGUAGGCGGCAAUUCAAGUCAUCUGUGAAAUCUCCGGGCUUAACUCGGAACGGUCAGAUGAUACUGCUUUGCUAGAGUGCGGAAGGGGCAAUCGGAAUUCUUGGUGUAGCGGUGAAAUGCGUAGAUAUCAAGAGGAACACCUGAGGUGAAGACGGGUUGCUGGACCGACAUUGACGCUGAGGAGCGAAAGCCAGGGGAGCAAACGGGG